UACAGAGGUCUCAAGCGUUGUUCGGAUUCAUUGGGCGUAAAGGGUGUGUAGGUGGCGCGCUAAGUCGGGUGUGAAAUUUCGGAGCUUAACUCCGAAACUGCAUUCGAUACUGGCGUGCUUGAGGACUGGAGAGGAGACUGGAAUUCAUGGUGUAGCAGUGAAAUGCGUAGAGAUCGGAAAGAACACCAACGGCGAAAGCACUCUGCUGGGCCGACACUGACACUGGAGAAGACGAAAGCUAGGGGAGCGAAUGGG
rnacentral:rRNA from 1 species